CCCACAGACUCAAGUACCCGAAAGGCACUAGAUCCUGUCUGAUCUUGGCAGCUAAAUAGGGUCAGUCCUGGUUAGGACUUGGAUGGGAGAACGCCAACGAAUGCCAGGAGUGGCA
rnacentral:rRNA from 11 species